AACGCAUAUUGCGCUCUUUGGUAUUCCGAAGAGCAUGCUUGUUUGAGUAUCAGUAAACACCUCAAAACUUUUUUUUAUUUUUGAAAAACAGUUUUGGACUUGAGCAAUCCCAACACCAUUCUUUUUUAGAUCGGUGGCGGGUUGCUUGAAAUGCAGGUGCAGCUGGACAUUCUCCUGAGCUAAAAGCAUAUUUAUUUAGUCCCGUCAAACGGAUUAUUACUUUUGCUGCAGCUAAUAUAAAGGGAGUUUGACCGUUUUGGCUGACUGAUGCAGGAUUUCACAAGGGUCGGCAACGAUUCUUGUAAAACUCGAUCUCAAAUCAAGUAAGACUACCCGCUGAACUUAA
rnacentral:misc_RNA from 1 species